rnacentral:rRNA from 1 species
UACGAAGGGGGCUAGCGUUGCUCGGAAUCACUGGGCGUAAAGCGCACGUAGGCGGCUUUUUAGGUCAGGGGUGAAAUCCUGGAGCUCAACUCCAGAACUGCCUUUGAUACUGAGAAGCUUGAGUCCGGGAGAGGUGAGUGGAACUGCGAGUGUAGAGGUGAAAUUCGUAGAUAUUCGCAAGAACACCAGUGGCGAAGGCGGCUCACUGGCCCGGUACUGACGCUGAGGUGCGAAAGCGUGGGGAGCAAACAGG